rnacentral:lncRNA from 1 species
AGCACUCCGGAGAGAGAGAGAGACCCAUGGACCAUCUGUGCCACAGGCUGCUGAGUCAGAGAUUUCGGCAUAGAGUCAUCCAGCUCGUCGUGCUCCACGCCAGACACAGUCUCACCAGGCUCGACCUCCCCUCGCCACGUACACUAGGAGGAUGAGGACUAGAUCCCAGCCGUUAGAGUCUCCCUAGGCUGAUCUUAGCAUCUAUGUUUAGAGCCUAGGCUAGAUAUCUAGUUCUCAUAUGUAUCUUGCUUCUAUCAUGUAUCUUUAAAUCUUGAUUAAGGAACAUUGUAUCUGUUUUUGUUUUUGACAUGAAUGUAUGAAAAUGUUCCUAUUUUGAUCAAUGAAGUUUGAAGUUUAUUAUUUAUUGCAUCUUUUCCCAU